ensembl:lncRNA
AAUUUUUCAAAGAGACCCUGAAGAGAUUGCUCCUUUGGUAAAGCGUUUGCUGUGGUAAAAUGGAAACCUGAUCACCAGCACCUACAAAAGAAGCCGGGCAUAGUGGCACAGGCCUCUCAUCCCAGCGUUCAGAUGAUGGAGACUAAUGGAUCCCUGAGGCUUGCUGGUCUACCAGCCUCAAGUAGACUCAUUGAGCACCAGAAGCUGCAGAGAAUGGAAGCAUCAUGGAGAAAAUGGCAGGGAGACCCAAGACUCCAAGACAAGAAGGAUGAAGUAAAAGAAGCAAUCAGGAAAGAAGCAUUGCUGUCCAUGGGCAGAACUAUCCCAGGAAGUUAAUCGCGAUAAACACAAGGCCGCAAGGAGCAAGCCAGUACUCAGUGUUUUCCUAUGACUUCUGCAUCAGUUCCUUCCUUGAGUUCUUGCUUUGACUUCCCUCAGUGAUGGACCUGAAAGUUGUAAGUUGAAACACUCCCCUGCCCAAUAGAAUGG